GGUUAAGCAUGGUCUGCCAAAAUGUGCUUGAUCUUGUAGGGAGAAUCCAAUGUGGUAGAAAGUGUCUCCUGGUGUUAAUACGGAAGGUUUUUAUUUGCUUUUUUAUUAUUUUAAACCAAUGAUAAUGUGGUAAUUUGGGGGUAGCUUGGUGUGUAAUAAACGUAUGCAAUGAUAAAUAGGUGGUCUAACACACUCUGGC
rnacentral:lncRNA from 1 species